rnacentral:rRNA from 1 species
CAAUAGCGUAUAUUAAAGUUGUUGCGGUUAAAAAGCUCGUAGUUGGAUUUCUGCCGAGGGCGACCGGUCCGCCCUCUGGGUGAGCAUCUGUCUCGGCCUGGGCAUCCUCUUGGAGAACGUAGCUGCACUUGACUGUGCGGGGCGGUAUCCAGGACUUUUACUUUGAGGAAAUUAGAGUGUUUCAAGCAGGCAUACGCCUUGAAUACAUUAGCAUGGAAUAAUAGGAUAGGACCUCGGUUCUAUUUUGUUGGUUUCUAGAGCUGAGGUAAUGAUUAAUAGGGAUAGUUGGGAGCAUCCGAUUUAACUGUCAGAGGUGAAAUUCUUGGAAUUGUUAAAGACGGACUAAUGCGAAAGCAUUUGCCAAGGAUGUUUUCAUUGAUCAAGAACGAAAGUUAGGGAUCGAAGAUGAUCAGAUACCGU